rnacentral:lncRNA from 1 species
AAAUGAGUGUUCCUUCUAAGUUAGGUGACCCUAACCCGAUCAUUUAACCCAACGGUGCAAACUUCUUUAGUUGUUGAUAUUUAAGCCAAAGUGCAAGAAAAAUAAAAAAUAAAAUAACAAUAAGAUCAUAGUCACUAACAAAUUAUCUUACUAUGAGUGUGAAAGGAUAACAUGCUUAAUGUGAUUGCACUAUAAUGAAAAAGGACGCAAAAGAGGACGAGUAAGUUAGACUUGAGCAUAAUAAUACGAUUCAGAUUAGUUUGCAUAAGAGGAAGGUUGUGAC